AUUGAACGCUGGCGGCAUGCCUUACACAUGCAAGUCGAACGGUAACAGGUCUUCGGAUGCUGACGAGUGGCGAACGGGUGAGUAAUACAUCGGAACGUGCCCGAUCGUGGGGGAUAACGAAGCGAAAGCCUUGCUAAUACCGCAUAAGAUCUACGGAUGAAAGCAGGGGACCACAAGGCCUUGCGCGAACGGAGCGGCCGAUGGCAGAUUAGGUAGUUGGGGGGAUAAAAGCUUACCAAGCCGACGAUCUGUAGCUGGUCUGAGAGGACGACCAGACACACUGGGACUGAGACGCGGCCCAGACUCCUACGGGAGGCAGCAGUGGGGAAUUUUGGACAAUGGGCGAAAGCCUGAUCCAGCCAUGCCGAGUGAAGGAUGAAGGCCUUCGGGUUGUAAACUGCUUUUGUACGGAACGAAAAGACUCUUUCUAAUAAAGAGGGUCCAUGACGGUACCGUAAGAAUAAGCACCGGCUAACUACGUGCCAGCCGCCGCGGUAACAC
rnacentral:rRNA from 1 species